rnacentral:rRNA from 1 species
UACACUCCUGCGGGAGGCAGCAGUGGGGAAUUUUGGACAAUGGGCGAAAGCCUGAUCCAGCAAUGCCGCGUGUGUGAAGAAGGCCUUCGGGUUGUAAAGCACUUUUGUCCGGAAAGAAAUCCUUGGCUCUAAUACAGUCGGGGGAUGACGGUACCGGAAGAAUAAGCACCGGCUAACUACGUGCCAGCAGCCGCGGUAAUACGUAGGGUGCGAGCGUUAAUCGGAAUUACUGGGCGUAAAGCGUGCGCAGGCGGUUUGCUAAGACCGAUGUGAAAUCCCCGGGCUCAACCUGGGAACUGCAUUGGUGACUGGCAGGCUAGAGUAUGGCAGAGGGGGGUAGAAUUCCACGUGUAGCAGUGAAAUGCGUAGAGAUGUGGAGGAAUACCGAUGGCGAAGGCAGCCCCCUGGGCCAAUACUGACGCUCAUGCACGAAAGCGUGGGGAGCAAACAGGAUUAGAAACCCUAGUAGUCCCAUGAU